rnacentral:misc_RNA from 1 species
ACAUCAGCCCACUCGUCGGCGUGGCCGUCGAGAGUCACCACCCCCGGGCGGUAAUCGGCGGCGACGCGGACGUCGGGGUUGGACUCGCAGGUAGCGCCGGAUCUCCCGUCGUCGUGGUGCUCGUGCGCGCCGGCGAGAUGCGCCGCCGUGGAGAGGGCGAUUAGGGUUAGCAGUACUAGCCGGAGCAUUGCGAUGGAGAGAGAAGAUUUGUUUGGG